rnacentral:rRNA from 1 species
AUUGAACGCUGGCGGCAGGCCUAACACAUGCAAGUCGAGCGGAUGAAGGGAGCUUGCUCCUGGAUUCAGCGGCGGACGGGUGAGUAAUGCCUAGGAAUCUGCCUGGUAGUGGGGGAUAACGUCCGGAAACGGGCGCUAAUACCGCAUACGUCCUGAGGGAGAAAGUGGGGGAUCUUCGGACCUCACGCUAUCAGAUGAGCCUAGGCCGGAUUAGCUAGUUGGUGGGGUAAAGGCCUACCAAGGCGACGAUCCGUAACUGGUCUGAGAGGAUGAUCAGUCACACUGGAACUGAGACACGGUCCAGACUCCUACGGGAGGCAGCAGUGGGGAAUAUUGGACAAUGGGCGAAAGCCUGAUCCAGCCAUGCCGCAUGUGUGAAGAAGGUCUUCGGAUUGUAAAGCACUUUAAGUUGGGAAGAAGAGCAGUAAGUUAAUACCUUGCUGUUUUGACGUUACCAACAGAAUAAGCACCGGCUAACUUCGUG